rnacentral:tRNA from 1 species
GGGCAGAUGGCCGAGCGGUUAAAGGCGACAGACUGUAAAUCUGUUCUCUUACGAGUACGUUGGUUCGAAUCCAGCUCUGCCCA